CUCGCGACGUCUCUUCUUGGGGUUCUGCUCGGUCCCGCCCCGCCUAACCGCCACGGCUUCUUCUGCCUUGGCAUACUUCCGCGCCCGAGCGAACAUUUCGGUGAGGUCCGUGGAAAAAUUCUUCUCGAUCGAGAAGAGGAAUCUGUAGGACCGGGCUCCAGUCUUCAACGCCGACAUGGCGAUUGACUGGUCAAGCUCC
rnacentral:lncRNA from 1 species